rnacentral:rRNA from 1 species
UACGUAGGGGGCUAGCGUUGUCCGGAAUUAUUGGGCGUAAAGAGCGUGUAGGCGGUCCGGUAAGUCCGCUGUGAAAGUCGGGGGCUCAACCCUCGAAUGCCGGUGGAUACUGUCGGGCUAGAGUGCGGAAGAGGCGAGUGGAAUUCCUGGUGUAGCGGUGAAAUGCGCAGAUAUCAGGAGGAACACCGAUGGCGAAGGCAGGUCACUGGGCCGCAACUGACGCUGAGGAGCGAAAGCAUGGGGAGCGAACAGG